GCCGGGCAUGGUAGCACGUGCCUGUAGUCCCAGCUACUCAGGAGGCUGAGGCAGGAGAAUUGCUUGAACCCAGGAGAUGGAGUUUGCAGUGAGCCAAGAUCAAGGUGAUGCCACUGCACUCCAGCCUGGGUGACAGAGCGAGACUCUGUCUCAA
rnacentral:sRNA from 1 species